rnacentral:lncRNA from 1 species
UGAUUUUUUAAAAUUUUGAGAUACGUAUUAUUAAUUGUUUGUAUAGUACAUAUAGUCUUUGUUAAUCUGUGAAAAAUAGAAGAAAAUAAUUUUAAACGACGAUCAACGGCAUUACGGGAUCGUUAAAACACGGUCAAUUUGACAUGUUUGAGAUUUUUAUUCCUUUUGAUAAUAAACUCCAUGCUUAACAAAUCGAAAUAAAUCUAUUUCAGAC